rnacentral:rRNA from 1 species
GACGAACGCUGGCGGCGCGCCUAACACAUGCAAGUCGAGCGAUGAAAUUUUAACCGAUCUCUUCGGAGAGAAGAUAAAAUGGAUUAGCGGCGGACGGGUGAGUAACACGUGAGAAACCUGCCUUUCACAAGGGGAUAGCCUCGGGAAACCGGGAUUAAUACCCUAUGACACAUUUCCUUCGCAUGGAAGAACUGUUAAAACUCCGGUGGUGAAAGAUGGUCUCGCGCCUGAUUAGCUAGUUGGUGGGGUAACGGCCCACCAAGGCCAUGAUCAGUAACCGGCCUGAGAGGGUGAACGGUCACAUUGGAACUGAGACACGGUCCAAACUCCUACGGGAGGCAGCAGUGGGGAAUAUUGCACAAUGGAGGAAACUCUGAUGCAGCGACGCCGCGUGAGCGAUGAAGGCUUUCGAGUCGUAAAGCUCUGUCCUAUGGGAAGAUAAUGACGGUACCAUAGGAGGAAGCCCCGGCUAACUACGUG